rnacentral:tRNA from 1 species
GUCUCUGUAGUUAAAAUGGACAUAACAAUCCCCUCCUAAGGGCUAGUUACAGGUUCGACUCCUGUCAGAGACG